rnacentral:lncRNA from 1 species
CAAAGGUGACUUAAGCUGCUCUGUUAGGUAGCAGGACUAGAGCACCGUCCUCUUCUCUGUAUUGGCCUGUAUCUGACUUCUGCUGGUCCCUCCAGAUGAACACCCUCCUGGUUAGCCUUGCCUUUCAUGACCCACACCUCCAGUAAGAUGUCCCCUUAUUGCCCCUUUGAAACACCAAGCUUUCUCUACCUCCACAUCUUUGCUUAUACUGGCCUUCUAAACUUGUCCAAGAACAAGCUUCAAGCUAGCUCUAUCUAGGUUUCCCUAGCUCGGGGAGAUUCUUUUCCCCUGAGCCACCGUGGAUCCCCCUUGAAUGGCGUCCUAUCCCAUUUAUCAAAGAUUGGCGUUCCUCCUGUCUUCUUGCAGCCUCCCGAGGAGUCCUGUGGUAUUGUAUCCGUUUCACCGGAGUGAAUAGAGAAGCUCAUCUGAACAAGUGCGGCAUUAUGUCUAUGCAUCUCCAGCUGCAUCUGUCUGCAGAGAAAAUGAGCUCAGUACUGAGAGCACAGCCGGACUAACUGGAACGAAAUUAUAAUGAAAGUGAGUAACUGAACGGAUGGAUGAGAAAACAACACUUGUCUUAUCUCCAGAACUCUCAAAUGGGACCCAUACUACAAUUCUGGAUUAAAUGCUAAUUAGAAAAUAGAUGGCUGAAUGAUAGAUAGAUAGAUAGAUAGAUAGAUAGAUAGAGGAUUAGAUGAUAGACAGAUGAUAUAUACAGGUAGAUGGCACAUACAUAUAUAGUAGACAGACACAUAGGUAUAUGUGGUAGCUGGCCAGAGACAAAUUGGAUGAUAAACCAUAGACAGAUCAUAGACCAAUAGAUAUAUUUACAUGACAGAUAGUUACAUGAUAAAUUGGGUGAUAGAUGAUCACUAGAGAGACAAAUAGAUGCUAAAUCAACAGAAAAGUGUGUUCCCUCAGACACAUAGAUACCCUGUGGUAAUUGAUAUUAAAGUAUAUUCACACGCUUUUGUUAUAAAAUUAGAAGCACAGAGUCAUUCAUAAUUGCCUUGUGGUGGAAUAGAAAAAGUCUUUGGAAAUGCUACUUGGUGCUAUGGUCAGGGACACGCAGCUUCCAGGGCAUUUUACUGAAGUGCUGACUUCUUUGCGUGAGAAAGAAAUCUGAGAAUCGAAUUUAAUUGGUUUUUGUUUGGUUUUGGUGUUUGUUUGUUUGUUUGUUGUUUGUUUUGUUUUGUUUUGUUUUUGAGGCAACCAUUCUAGGUGAUUUGAGGGUCUUCCCCAAGAAUAUAAUUAAUGUUUAUGGCUGCUGCCCUCCAGUUUCCUGAAUGUGCUGACUGGUCCCUUUGUGUUAUAGUAGGAGAGUGCACUGGUGCUCUGUGGAUAAGUGGAUUUGGUACCGAAGGCAUCUUUCUCUUAUUUUGCUAAGGAUGAUUCAUAGAUGGUAAGAGAGAACAAAGGACUCCUCUGACCUCACAGUGUCGACAUCCAAACAGGAGACUGGAUACAGCCAACGAGGAGCUAAGGGAUGCCCAGACACCUGAAGCCCCGGGUUCCAUCCCCAAACACUACAGAAAGUCAAACUUAAAAUAAGUACACAGUAAAGCAAAGAAUGACGUAUGUGUAUGUGUGGAAACCCAAGAGGUGAGGGAGGCAGAGUGACCAAGAAGAAGAUUGUUAUUUAAUUAAAAUUAGUAGGCCAAAAAGGCCUCUAUAAUAGACAAUAACUAGGCAAAGACCUGAGGCCAGGCAAAUCCACACAACCGUGCGUCACCAUGGCAAAGUUCACUCCCUGCUGAGGGGAAACCGGCAGAGGUCAGAUGGGAGUUGGGAACUGCGAAGGGUUUUGCACACUGAAGUUCCAGGAUCUGACAAUUGUUCUCAAAAGGGUCUUCUGGCUGUUGUGGGAGAAUUGACUGCAGCGAGAGGCUACGGGCGUCCUCCAGGUUAGAGAUCGCUGGGGCUUACAUCAGUUGUUUGGGGGCAAAGGUUCACAGGCUUGUUGUGAUUUUUUUUUCACUCUCAUAUAAAUCAGAUUAUAAUAAUUGUAUCUCAGCCUUCUGUAGAUGCUGUAUCCCAUUGUCUUCUGGCUUUCAUGUUUCAAAGGGAAAGCACAAGGCCACUCUUUAUGUAACUUGUUCUUCUAUUUGGAAACUCGAAGGACUUCCCUGCUUAUCCUCGAACUGAGGUCUCUAAUGAAGCAGCCGAGGGCAGAACGAAGUCAGGUCAGAGAGGGUGACAGUUAAGUUAUCAAAUCUAGGUCAGCAAAACACAAAAUCGGGGACAAGAAAACGAUUGCAAGCCUUGGGUCUGAGCACACAGUCCAAAAUGGAUGAGGGGCAGGAAGUCAACUUUCAAAGAAAGUCCCUGGGGCUGCUUUGCCUAGCCACAGAGUAACUGCUUCACACAACUGCAAAACAGCGGACUGCUUACCCUAGCAGGCUCAACUCAAAACACUCGCCCUCCGAUCCUGCCUCCAGACUAUGUCAAGAGUAUCUGCCCAUACAUCUCCAUUGUCAUGCUCCUCUGACCAAAAUGUUAAGAAAGGUGUUAUACUUGGUGAUAUCUUCAUGGGCCUCCCCCCCCCCAUGUUGACAACAUUUUAAAUUCUGUAUAUAUACUUUCAUCUCUAUUCAUAAGCAUCUGUUCUACAUGCUUAAUCCUUAGAUAGAUCUAAGUAUCUAUUCACAUAUAUCUGUGGCCCUGAAGGAACUUGGAUAUAUUUAUUCAAAUGUAUAAGUAGAAAAUUCUGCUUUAUUUAGACGCGUUUCUUGAUUUUUUAAAAUUUCGUAUUUGGCUAAAAGCUGAGUUCAUUUGUAUCUAUAAAAAGUUGGUCUCAUUUGGGACGCAGGCAGAGAAGAGCUUCAAGUAUUUAUUCCUUAUACAGUUUCGUGUGUGCGGUAGGAAGAGGGGAGCAGGAAAGCCUGGUUGAACACAGAGUACAUAGCCCAAAUAAAGGAAGUGGCACAUCACCAUGGAGGGGGGCUGAGAGCAGACUUGGGAGAGAUGUCAAGGCAAGACCAGGGGGCUGGGAAUGUAGCUCACUUGGCAGAGUGUUUGCAGGCAUGUGAGAAGCCCAGGAGUCCAUCUGCAAUGCCGCAUAAACCAGGCAGGGUAUCAUCUGCCUGUAAUCCCAGGACACUGUCAGUGGAGCUAGAAGGAUCAGCAGGUUCAAGACCAGCCUUGGCUGUAUAAGACACUAUCUUGAGAAAAGAUCGCUGUAGGGAUCUAUCAUCACAGGACAGUGGAAAACCCACAUUAUUUAUUCAGUUUUCGCUGCUUUCUCUCUCAGCUCCUAGGACUUGUCUUCCUCCCCAGUCUAGUGGCUCACACACACCACUUCUCUUUGUCCAUUCCAUGAGCAUCUUAACCCACACAUCUGUGUCUUCAGAGAUACUCUGGGGCAUGCGGUGUACACAACCCAGAAGUGGAUGCAUAUGAGUUGCGGCCCCAGCGAGGUUAUCAAGCCACACUAGGAAGAAUGUGGGGAACCCAGAGAAUUGGGCGAGACGCUCAGGCAGUGGACAGAACAGAGAGACGAGCAAAAUCCAGAGAGCUGCUUGGAGAUCAGAUGGGGAAUGAAGACCAAACUGCUUUCCAAAUCAAACGGAAAACAGGAGGCAGUCAAAAGACUCGCAGGGCAGGGAGAAGAAGUACAAAGAGAAUUAGGACCUCUGAACUGGUUUCCUAGGAGAUUUUCCUAAAUAGGAGGCAAGUGGAGUGGAGGAUUUGGAGGAGUAAUAACCUUUAUGUCCUCAUAGUAUGCCUGGUAAGUGGGCUGCAUAGGAAAUUCUCAAAAAAGCAUCCCCAUGUUUGACUUCAAAAUGACCUUCCAUGGCGGCUGCAUUUGUUGUUAAAAAUGCAAGUGCAGUAGAGCCUUCCUCAUGGGAAUGCCUAAUGCUGAAAGGGUAUUCGGGGGACAGCGUCUGGUGUGGCAUUGUCACCUUGUGUGAAACUCCCUCCUCCUCACUUCAUUCUUCAUGAGGUUGGGCUUGGGAUAAAAGAGCAGAAUGGGUCAGAAGGUCCUGUUCCAAGUAAUUAGAGAGUUUUUCUUUCAUCUAAAUGUGCCUUGUUAAAGUAUAUCAGUGUCAGCCAGGUUAAUUGGAGUUUUAAUACAUAAUUGAUGUUAAUUUAUGGUCCUUUUUGUUCCAGGAUGCGACUGCAGACCUUAAAGUCAGGAUACAGUUUUCUUGUUAUUAAUUAUAUACAGAAAGCCAAUAUCCCCUUUGAGAAGACACCCAUGUCUUCUGUAGCUUAUUUGAGGUCCAGCAUGUCAACCAUGGGCCACUGUCACUGUGAGAGAGCCUUCCCUAGACUCCACACUACCUCAUAACGGACUCGAGCUUCAGACCAAUGCACACUCUCUAUUAAAAUGUUUAACACAGAAGGUGUGAAAUGAAUCCUGUUCCUAUGGAUCCACUAAGUUCCACAGUAUCUGUAACUACAUGGAGGUCAGUUUACCAUCUUAGAACCGAAGGUAUUGCUAAAACGCAAAAGCUGGGGAGCUGAGGCUGCCUUGGAAACCAGAGGCCUAAGGGGGGCUUUAACGGUUGGGUUUUCCUGUAGAUUUCUAUUGUCUGUAUAAUUCCUUUUUACUUUUCUGGAAAUAGAGGGCAAAAAAAAAAUGGUAUGUCUAAAUCCAGUUAACGAUUUUCUUCCAUUGCUAAACUGAUGUUGAACUCAGUAUAAAAGUACAGGUCUAUGAAUGGUUCCUAAAGCUCAGAAUGGCCUAACCAAAUCUUACAGUGGAAACUGACCAAAGACCUGACUCCAGAAGCAGAAACUCACCUGAUGGAUAGCCGCUGAGAUGUGCUGGUGGCUUAGAGACUCACACCACCAACUCUGCCUAAGACUUCUGUUUUGAAAGAGCAGAUGAUCAAUGACUUUGUACAAGUCUGAUAUUGGCUUUUACUAAUAAAUUAGCAUCUUGUUCAACUUCACCACAAUGCGAUCAGCGAUGACAUCACGUGCUGAAGAGUAGGGUUGUCUCAGUGGAACAGGACACAAUUUAAUGUGUCAAGUUUCUUUUGAACUUUUCUUGGGAUCCGAUAUCAGCCAAAAGGAGGUCAUUUUAAUUAUCAAAUGAUUAAUUAAUUAGAUAGUGAACCACCAGAGGUGGAUGGCUGAGUUCACAACGGUGUUGCUGGCACACCCAUGCUUCCACACAGGGGAAACCAUGACUCUCAAAUGCCUCUGAUAGAUGUGUAAGGACCAGAGCUAUCCUUCAUUCCUCUAACAUCCACAGACACACACUGUGUGCACAACAAGGUGUAGGAAACGUCUCAGCAGCGGGGAAUCUUUCCUGCACUCCAAGGAUUCACACUCGAGUGGAAAAGGUAAAGCCUUCCUCCAAACAAUCUGAACAUGUAGAAAACAAUUAGCAAAUGUGUUUUCAAACUAAAAGACAAUGUGAAAGUAACAAAUUAAAAUAUGAACUGUCCCUAGUACUUUCCUAUUGUUCUCAUUUUAGGGAAAAGUUGCCACAUCCUAGGUACAAGAGUGAUCCAGAACAGAACACACUUUCUUUUUAGAAAUGUA